UGCAAGGGAAUACUGAGAACGGGCAGCAGCUGAAAUAGCCUGCCCUACACUACAAAGGGCAGGCUAUUUCAGCUGCUGCCCGUUCUCAGUAUUCUCUUGCGA